GGGGAGCAGGAACGACCUUAAAAAGCUGAAGUCAUCCAUAGGCGAUGAGCCUAAAAUUGAUGGCGAAUUAUUGAAGCGAGUCAAAGAGGUAGGGGGCGAGGAGCAUACAGCAAUGUUGAGGGCCGUCAUCUGCCUACCAAGUGAGGAGGGAGUGGCCCCCAAGCCCAUUCAGACUCUCGACUUUGUGGACUGUGCAGGUUUGGAUGCUACUAUUGCUCUCUCACCUAAGGUUGUUGGCCAUGUGGUGUCUGCGGGUGAUGAGGUAGGUGAAGAUUUUUCCGCAAUUUGGGGUUCUAGCUUGCGAACUAUGGAAAACGACGAAGGAUGUGAUUGCCCCGAACCCGCGAGCAAUUGA
rnacentral:rRNA from 1 species